AAGGUUCCUCGGCGGGCCUCCCGUUUUUACCGGAGCGGGCUGAUCCGCCGAGGCAACCAAUUGUUAUGUUCACAGGGGUUUGGGAGUUGUAACCUCGGAUUUCCGUAGGGUAACCUGCGGAGGGAUCAUUACCGAGUUUACAACUCCCAAACCCCUGUGAACAUACCAAUUGUUGCCUCGGCGGAUCAGCCCGCUCCCGGUAAAACGGGACGGCCCGCCAGAGGACCCCUAAACUCUGUUUCUAUAUGUAACUUCUGAGUAAAACCAUAAAUAAAUCAAAACUUUCAACAACGGAUCUCUUGGUUCUGGCAUCGAUGAAGAACGCAGCAAAAUGCGAUAAGUAAUGUGAAUUGCAGAAUUCAGUGAAUCAUCGAAUCUUUGAACGCACAUUGCGCCCGCCAGUAUUCUGGCGGGCAUGCCUGUUCGAGCGUCAUUUCAACCCUCAAGCCCCCGGGUUUGGUGUUGGGGAUCGGCGAGCCCUUGCGGCAAGCCGGCCCCGAAAUCUAGUGGCGGUCUCGCUGCAGCUUCCAUUGCGUAGUAGUAAAACCCUCGCAACUGGUACGAAGACGCGGCCAAGCCGUUAAACCCCCCAAACCUUUUUC
rnacentral:rRNA from 1 species